rnacentral:rRNA from 1 species
ACACGACUACAUUAGAUACCCGGGUAGUCCUAGCCGUAAACGAUACUCGCUAGGUGUCGGCCACGGUGCGACCGUUGUCGGUGCCGUAGGGAAGCCGUGAAGCGAGCCACCUGGGAAGUACGGCCGCAAGGCUGAAACUUAAAGGAAUUGGCGGGGAGCACCACAACGGGUGGAGCCUGCGGUUUAAUUGGACUCAACGCCGGGAAGCUCACCGGAUAAGACAGCGGAAUGAUUGCCGGGCUGAAGACUCUGCAUGACUAGCUG